GCGGUGGUAGCUCAAAGGUAGAGUGCGAGCGUGCCAAGCUCGCGACGGGAGUUCGAUUCUCCUCCACCGCUCCA
rnacentral:tRNA from 2 species